rnacentral:rRNA from 1 species
AUUGAACGCUGGCGGCAUGCCUUACACAUGCAAGUCGAACGGCAGCACGGGUGCUUGCACCUGGUGGCGAGUGGCGAACGGGUGAGUAAUACAUUGGAACGUACCUUAUCGUGGGGGAUAACGCAGCGAAAGCUGUGCUAAUACCGCAUACGCCCUGAGGGGGAAAGCGGGGGAUCGCAAGACCUCGCGCGAUUAGAGCGGCCGAUGCCUGAUUAGCUAGUUGGUGGGGUAAAAGCCCACCAAGGCGACGAUCAGUAGCUGGUCUGAGAGGACGAUCAGCCACACGGGGACUGAGACACGGCCCAGACUCCUACGGGAGGCAGCAGUGGGGAAUUUUGGACAAUGGGGGCAACCCUGAUCCAGCAAUGCCGCGUGAGUGAAGAAGGCCUUCGGGUUGUAAAGCUCGUUUGUCAGGGAAGAAACACCGGCUCUAACACAGUCCGGGAAUGACGGUACCUGAAGAAUAAGCACCGGCUAACUACGUGCCAGCCGCCGCCGUAA